CAGCCGCCACGGUAAUACGUAGGGUGCAAGCGUUAAUCGGAAUUACUGGGCGUAAAGCGUGCGCAGGCGGUUAUAUAAGACAGAUGUGAAAUCCCCGGGCUCAACCUGGGAACUGCAUUUGUGACUGUAUAGCUAGAGUACGGCAGAGGGGGAUGGAAUUCCGCGUGUAGCAGUGAAAUGCGUAGAUAUGCGGAGGAACACCGAUGGCGAAGGCAAUCCCCUGGGCCUGUACUGACGCUCAUGCACGAAAGCGUGGGGAGCAAACAGGAUUAGAUACCCCGGUAGUCCUUGUCUCUUAUAA
rnacentral:rRNA from 1 species